UAACCUCGAAUCAGUCGCGAAUACCCGCUGAACUUAAGCAUAUCACUAA
rnacentral:rRNA from 1 species